GACGAACGCUGGCGGCGUGCUUAACACAUGCAAGUCGAACGGAAAGGCCCCUUUGGGGGUACUCGAGUGUCGAACGGGUGAGUAACACGUGAGUAACCUGCCCUUGACUUCGGGAUAACUUCAGGAAACUGGGGCUAAUACCGGAUAGGAAUCCUUGCUGCAUGGUGGGGGUUGGAAAGCUUCGGCGGUUUUGGAUGGACUCGCGGCUUAUCAGCUUGUUGGUGGGGUAGUGGCUUACCAAGGCUUUGACGGGUAGCCGGCCUGAGAGGGCGACCGGCCACAUUGGGACUGAGAUACGGCCCAGACUCCUACGGGAGGCAGCAGUGGGGAAUAUUGCACAAUGGGCGGAAGCCUGAUGCAGCAACGCCGCGGGCGGGAUGACGGCCUUCGGGUUGUAAACCGCUUUCAGCAGGGGCGAAGCUUGUGGUGACGGUACCUGCAGAAGAAGCACCGGCUAACUACGUG
rnacentral:rRNA from 1 species